rnacentral:rRNA from 1 species
AUUGAACGCUGGCGGCAGGCCUAACACAUGCAAGUCGAGCGCUUCUAGCUUGCUAGAGGAGCGGCGAACGGGUGAGUAACGCGUGGGAAUCUGCCUGGUAGUGGGGGACAACGUCUCGAAAGGGACGCUAAUACCGCAUACGCCCUGCGGGGGAAAGGGGGGGAGUCUUCGGACCUCUCGCUAUCAGAUGAGCCUGCGUC